GUAGCAGCAUAAGCCAGGCUCUAUGGAAUGUUGGGUGAGCUGCUUGAGGAACUCCAAGGCCUGUCCCACAGUCUUCCAGCCUCCGACUCUCCGGCCCUCAGCGAGGUCAGCAGUGAGCUACUUUUGGAUCUGUUGGGAUCCCUGAGCCCGUGGUCCAGGGAGACUCUGAACAGGGAGAUCUUUUGUCAUGACAUGGUUGUCUCUUGUUGUGCAAGCAAGAGUCAGGGGACAAAUGACAUUGGCUUUAGCCCCCUGCCAGCAGUACCAGGGCCUCCAGGACGGGAGGGAAGGACCAGGCUGAGGCUGGCAUAUGGGAGAGAGCGUGUGUGCGCUGGCGUUUCACCUGCUAGGGCUGCCUUCUGCUGGGCUGUCCAUCUGGCACCAGCUGGCAUACCAGCUCCGCCCCCACAGCCAACCAGACUCCUUCGGCUGUUGCUAUGACAAUUGGCUGCCAUCUUGGUACUCAGGGCACUACCGUCUCUCUGACUUUUCCUGUGGGGCUCCUGAGGGACAGAAAAGAAGUCCCACUGGUUUUUUUGGUUGGUUUUUUUUUUUUUUUUUAAGGUUUUUUGGUUUUUUUUUUUUUUUCUCAUUCCUGUCUUGGGAGCUUUCCCCAACCAGAGAGAGUGAUCUUUCAGCAGACUGAUCGAACACACAGGCUUCUCAGCCCACUCCCUCCAGUCAAGGUUAAGGCCUGGCAAAGGUGGAGGAAGAGAAGCUGAGGAGAAAAAGGCGAGGAGAGCCUAGGCACAGGAAGGUGACCGUGAGUAGAGUUGGGUGGUCCAGGGAUGUGGCUGGGAUCCCCUCUUCCUUCUGGAGUUCUCUUAGACAGUAAGGCUGAAGAGAAGCUUGGUACAGGAACUUCGAAGGUUUCUCAAGCGCUUCCCUCCCUCCCAGUGCUGAUUUCCUGUGGACCAGAUUCCAGCACAGUGGAGGGCCAGAGCUCAGGGAACAGACCCAGCAGCACAGCAAGUCUCCAAGGAAAGCUCUAGCAGUCUCCAGGGGCUGAAGGCAGGACUGGGACCAAAAAGAAGACCUGACGUCAUCCUGAGCACCCCCGCCAUGCAGAGUGUGUUCGCAGACUGCCAACGGGCUGGCUCCGGCCAGCAGAAGUGAACAGAGGUGGAGGUUCAGCCUGACAGCUUCUCCCCAAAGCCAUGGAGAGAAAACCUUACCACCCCCACCGCCCAGCUACUUCCAGCAAGUUGUCCAGCCUGACCCCUCUAUUUCCCCUGUUGUCUCUUAUCUGGGUCCCUGAGACCCACCCCAUCUCCAAUAAAGAACAUUGCAUACUGUGCAUCAGUGUUGCCUUGGGUGUGCCAGGCAGGGUCGGGGGCGUGCUGGGUUCUCCAUACUAGAACACCACUACUGA
rnacentral:lncRNA from 1 species